CCUACGGGAGGCAGCAGUGAGGAAUAUUGGUCAAUGGACGAGAGUCUGAACCAGCCAAGUAGCGUGAAGGAUGACUGCCCUAUGGGUUGUAAACUUCUUUUAUAUGGGAAUAAAAUGUUCCACGUGUGGGAUUUUGUAUGUACCAUAUGAAUAAGGAUCGGCUAACUCCGUGCCAGCAGCCGCGGUAAUACGGAGGAUCCGAGCGUUAUCCGGAUUUAUUGGGUUUAAAGGGAGCGUAGGUGGAUUGUUAAGUCAGUUGUGAAAGUUUGCGGCUCAACCGUAAAAUUGCAGUUGAAACUGGCAGUCUUGAGUACAGUAGAGGUGGGCGGAAUUCGUGGUGUAGCGGUGAAAUGCUUAGAUAUCACGAAGAACGCCGAUUGCGAAGGCAGUUCACUGGACUGCAACUGACACUGAGGCUCGAAAGUGUGGGUAUCAAACAGGAUUAGAUACCCGAGUAGUC
rnacentral:rRNA from 1 species